CAGUAGCCGCGGUAAUACGUAGGUGGCAAGCGUUGUCCGGAAUUAUUGGGCGUAAAGGGCUCGCAGGCGGUUUCUUAAGUCUGAUGUGAAAGCCCCCGGCUCAACCGGGGAGGGUCAUUGGAAACUGGGAAACUUGAGUGCAGAAGAGGAGAGUGGAAUUCCACGUGUAGCGGUGAAAUGCGUAGAGAUGUGGAGGAACACCAGUGGCGAAGGCGACUCUCUGGUCCGUAACUGACGCUGAGGAGCGAAAGCGUGGGGAGCGAACAGGAUUAGAUACCCGAGUAGUCCCUGUCUCUUAUAC
rnacentral:rRNA from 1 species